rnacentral:rRNA from 1 species
GACGAACGCUGGCGGCGUGCCUAAUACAUGCAAGUUGAGCGAUGCAGAUUGGUGCUUGCACCAAUUUGAAGAGCAGCGAACGGGUGAGUAACGCGUGGGGAAUCUGCCCUUGCGCGGGGGACACCAUUUGGAAACGAAUGCUAAUACCGCAUAACAACUUUACACAUAAGUUUUACGUUUGAAAGAUGCUAUUGCAUCACUCAAAGAUGAUCCCGCGUUGUAUUAGCUAGUUGGUGAGGUAAAGGCUCACCAAAGCGAUGAUACAUAGCCGACCUGAGAGGCGGAGAGGCAAAGUUGGGACGGGGACACGGCCAAAACUCCUACGGGAGACAGCAGUAGGGAAUCUUCAGCAAAGGACGAAAGUGUGACCGAGCAACGACGCGUGAGUGAAGAAGGUUUUAGGAUCGUAAAACUCUGUUAGUAGAGAGGGACGUUGGUGAGAGUGGAAAGCGAAGCAAGUGACGGUAACUAGCGAGAAAGGGACGGCUAACUACGUG